AUAUGCCUGGCUCCCUGUAUGCCAUUUGUGGAGCUCGUUGAAAUAUCAAUCGCCCUUAUGAAUGGCGUAUGAGGAGCCAAGCAUAU
rfam:Lupinus angustifolius cultivar Tanjil chromosome LG08, whole genome shotgun sequence.